rnacentral:rRNA from 1 species
AGUGAACGCUGGCGGUAGGCCUAACACAUGCAAGUCGAACGGCAGCACAGUAAGAGCUUGCUCUUACGGGUGGCGAGUGGCGGACGGGUGAGGAAUACAUCGGAAUUUACUUUUUCGUGGGGGAUAACGUAGGGAAACUUACGCUAAUACCGCAUACGACCUACGGGUGAAAGCAGGGGAUCUUCGGACCUUGCGCGAUUGAAUGCGCCGAUGUCGGAUUAGCUAGUUGGCGGGGUAAAGGCCCACUAAGGCGCCGGUCCGUGGCCAGUGUGGGUGGAGGGUCCGCCACAGUGGAGCUGAGACACGGUACAGACUCCUACGUGAGGCAGCAGCGGGGAAUAGAGGACAAAGGGCGGAAGCCUGAUCCAGGCAUAGCGGGUGGGUGAAGAAGGCCUGCGUGUUGUAAAGCCGUUUUGGUGGGAAAGAAAGGCAGCAGGUUAAUACCCCGCUGUUCUGACGGUACCCAUAGAAUAAGCACCGGCUAACUUCGU